ensembl:lncRNA
ACUGGCCCGGACAAUCCACCACUGGCUGUGAGCUUCGCCACACUCCUCCCUUCUUCCCCACCUCGCCCUGGCGCGCUCACCCCUACGUGGGAGAGCUCAGGCAUGCAGAUAACAGAAAUGUGAGGCAAAAGAGCAAGAAAGAGUCUCUCUUUUGAUGAGAAGAAGAAUAAACCUCAUUCUUGUUCAGAUGUAGAGAUCAAGGAAAAGACUUCUGUCUUAUUGGCUUCAGAUAUGUUAUCAGCACCUAAAGAAUGGAAAGCUGCAUUAAAGGAGGUUUCCCUUGGGAAGAGAGCCUCCUGCUGUCACUCUGGAGCAUUAAUAAGUCUGAAGAUUAGUCUUCAUAACAGAAGUAUGAAAGUUCUGAUGCAGAGCUACCUUCCAGAGGAUUUCUUUCUACCACACUCUUCCUCCCCAGUGUGAGAGAAUACAAGUACAUGUUGAUGUUUGAAGCAAGAACAUUCAAGAACUUCUGCCUGACUUUUAACCCAAGGCUUGGAUUAGUAAUAAUCUUUCUGUUUUUAGUGUGAGGCUCAGGGAUCACAAAGGGUU